CCGGAUCUGCUCGGCAUACAUCAGGAUCUCGAUCCAUUGUUGAGCACGCUAUGGAUCUGGAGCGUUCUUUAGAAAGACAACUCACUUGCUUAGAGAUCUUUCUCAAAACUCACCAGAGAAAGGAUGACACAUAUAUUGAUGAUCGAUCAAAGAACAUUGGGGAGGAAAUGACAAGCAGGGUUGCUCAGGCAUCUCAGCCACCAGUAGAGGGAGGGGAGUC